rnacentral:rRNA from 1 species
UACAGAGGUGGCAAGCGUUGUUCGGAAUUACUGGGCGUAAAGGGCGCGUAGGCGGCCUUCUAAGUCGAACGUGAAAUCCCUGGGCUCAACCCAGGAACUGCGUCCGAUACUGGCAGGCUUGAAUCCGGGAGAGGGAUGCGGAAUUCCAGGUGUAGCGGUGAAAUGCGUAGAUAUCUGGAGGAACACCGGUGGCGAAGGCGGCAUCCUGGACCGGCAUUGACGCUGAGGCGCGAAAGCCAGGGGAGCAAACGGG